rnacentral:lncRNA from 1 species
AUGCAGCCCAACCCCUUCUGCCAGGCAGGAAGACACCAUCCAAUCCCUCCCAACAGAUGGCCAUCCAGCCUCUGCUUAAAAGCCUCCAAAGAAGGAGCCUCCACCACAGCCCGGGGAGAGAGUUCCACAGCUGAACAGCUCACAGUGAGGAAGUUCUUCCUAAUGUUCAGGACAUCAAGACCUGUCUAUCCGUCAUCUGCCCUGUCUUUACAAGAUAGCAUCCCUAGCACCUGAUGUGAUGAAUAUUCUGAAAUGAUGGAUGAUCUCGAAUUUAUAUUGCUAGAUGGGAAAUUAAUGUGAGAAUAAACUUUCUCAAGAAUUAAGGCUGUGGUAUGUGUGGUAAGUUUUACAUCAGAGUUUAGAAGAAAUAACUUGCAAUAUAGUAAGCUGUAAUUUGGGAUGUGGAAAGAUAGAAUUGAGGGUGCAACAAUGCUACAUUUUUACAAAGUUCAGCCCCCUUCCCCCCCAUUACUGGCCUUUCACUCCCAAGUGAAGACCUUCUUGUGGACGCAGGCCUUUCCUGAUAACAUACAAGACAAGUCACUUUGGUCAGAUAAGGCUCAAGGCUCAAGAGGCCAGAGUUAGGGAGCUCUGAACUGCUCAGCUUAAUGUUUUAAUAUGUUGAGGAUAACAUAAAUUAAAUAGAUAUAUGUGUGAUUUUUAUGUUUUAUUUAUAUUUGUGUAAUCUGGGUUUAUAUAAUGUGUUAUUUAUUGUUGAUAUGUUGGGUUGUGGGAUGAGGGUUUUUGUAUUAUGUAGUUGUGAUCUAUUUUGUACACUACUUUGAGUCUCAUUCAUGGGAGAAAAGCAGGAUAAAAGUAAAUAAUAAUAAUAAUAAUAAUAAUAAUAAUAAUAAUAAUAAUAAUAAUAAUAAUAGAAAUAACACAUUGCAUCAAGUUUCUUUACUGAUAUAACAAUAUUGUGUAAUGAAUGAGAAAGCAGUGCUUUCUAAUUACUUUGAAAAAUUGCUAUUGCAGUGCUUUCUAAUUACUUUGAAAAAUUGCUAUUGAUGGAUGCUUGCGAAAAUAGGGAAAUAUUAGACACACAUUAUUAUUGAAGAGAAUGCAAUUUCUAACAGCCUGAAUAUGUGAAAAUCCUUAUAGAAGUUUAAAAAUAUUUCCAGGAGUGCUAUAAAAGAAGGAUUACAGGCAUGGUUUAAAAAACUGUUUGAGAAGAAUAGUUUUUGGCAAGCAUAUUUGAUGAAGGAACAGCAACGAUAUCACUAAACUAAGGCAGAUUUAUAAAUGAAUUGUGACUGUGUAAGUAGAUAAGAGCUAUUCGGAAUGUUAUAGAGAAGCUGCCACUGGUAUAGAAUUUAAACAAGAAGUAAUAUAGGCUUGCGUUCAACUUUUUAAAAACCAUCUCUAAGAGCCCAUUCUGUAGUAAGAAAGUAUGCUUUUUAAAAGCCGGGUUUUCUGAGCAGGGCUGUGUGGGUUGGGUGUGGAGAAGGUUUAAGUGCCACAAUGCAGCCUUUAUCUGAAGUCUCAUGGAGUCGCUGCUGACUGAAAAGCAUUAUAUCUGAUUCAUCACAUCAUCACCAGGUUUUUUAAAGUGCUGCGCCUUUUGAUUUUUGCUCAGGUUCAGCCACCGGAUUGUCAAAGUGGGGAAGUGAAUUAAGGCUCUCCAAAGUAAUUUAACCUCUCCACACAAUUUAUAACAAAAUUGGCCUUGUUUUGAAAAAUGCUUUCAUGCUGCAAGUUUUAGAUUUAAGUGGGUUUUCCUUGGCAGACUUAUAGCACUUCGGAAAGAGAUAUAAAAUGAUACCAUCUUUUUGUUUUGAUGAUACCUCUGCAAUUGUCUGUCCUACGCUCACUACAAGAUAAUCUAUUUGGACAAUAAUGCAUUGUAGUUUAAAUUCAAAGUUGUUUCUCUGACUCUCGGCAAAGACAAUAAACACCCUAAAUAGCAAACAAAUUACUCAAUAAAACAUGUUAGUGCAUAUUCAAUGUCGGCAUCAAGGAGGCUGUGGGUUACUAUAUAUAUACAAAACCUCCCAACUCAGAAACCAUUCAUUGCUAUACCUGAAUUUUCCUCUUUCUUCCUCUCUCCAUUCUGUUGAGCAGAUGACAGAAGCCUUUGUCUGGAAUCUUGUUGGUGAUAUACAGAUGCAUAACUCAGAAUAAUGCUCAUGUAUGUUUUGUUGUGGAUCAUGAUUACUUAUGAAUCCUGAAAACAAUUCAAAAUCUCCAAUAUUGGUACCGGUCAAACUCUGUGUCCUUUUAAUGGUUGUGGGAAGAGGAAAAUAGGAGAACAAACAUGGGGGAGAUAAGGCCAUUCUGCUUAUAGUUUUCCAGUCAAAGGAAGGAAAAUGAAGUGUUUUCCCACCUGCAUCUGCCAUUCAGUUGACAUCCCUCUGUUUACGUGUGAACUUCCUGGAAGUGGGGAAGGAAACUGAAGUGUGCCCUCCAGAUGUUUUAGCUUGAUGGGGGUAGUCCCAGUUAAUCCUCCUUCGUCCUGGUUUCACCCUCUGUAUCUUUAAAAAUAUGCCAAUUUCAUUCUCCUUCUCCCACUAUCAAAAUAGUUUGCUCUCUUUCUAACUCAGUGAGUCCAUUUUCAGUUAACUGAUCAUGUUGGGACCCAAGAAUGUGUAGUUAGAUUUAAUCAUAAUUAGUCUGAAGAAUGCCAGUGUCAAGCUCUGGUUUAUUAAGCUAGUUUAUGUCAAUAACCAUGAUUAAAAAUGGUUUAGGAUUUGGACACAUCAUUUAACAAUGAUUCUUUUUUUUAAAGUAAAUGUUUCCAAGUAUCUUUUCCUGGCUGUGCUGGGAAUGGAGAGGGGAAUCACCUGAGUUCCAAGAUGAUAAAAUAUGAUUUGCUGUGGCUGUUUCCAGAACAAUGAAGAAUCUGAGGGUGCAUCUACACCAGUGGUUCUCAACCUGUGGGUCACCAAAUGUUUUGGCCUUCAACUCCCAGAAAUCCUAACAGCUGGUAAACUGGCUGGGAUUUCUGGGAGCUGUAGACCAAAACACCUGGGGCCACACAGGUUGAGAACUAUUGAUCUACACCAUAGAAUUAAUGCAGUUUGACACCACUAACUUCAAUGGCUCAAUGCUGGGGAAUUCUGGGAUUUGUAGUUUAUUGGGACACCAGCACUCUUUGUCAGAGUAGGAAAAUACAUUGUAAAGCUCCUAACUCCCAGGAUCCCAUAGCUUUGAGCGAUUGUGGUUAAAGGAGCAUCAAACUGCAGUAAUUUUACAGUGUAGCUGUACAUCAAUCUUGCAAACUGGACUCUGGAUAGGAGUUGUCUCAAAGAUCACUGUAAACUUCUCGUGACUCACUGGAUGUGUGUCAGUCCACGUACGGCUUGAUUAAAUAAUUAAAGUAAUUGUUUUAGUUUUGUUGCAAGGUGCUUAGGAUUCCAUGUUGGAAGAAAGGUGAGCUAGACAUAUAAACAAAUCAACAUUCCAGGUGGAACUUAUGCUAAUACUAUCAUGGUGCAAAUGCCAAAAGCCAGAUUGGAAGUCCCGGUGAUAGCCUUCAGAAACGAUUGGCUAGUUACAUUUUUGUGAAUGAAAAUUUUUCUUCCCAUUUUGAAUGUAUCACUGAUAGUAAUUUAAAAAUUAAACUUUCUCAAACGUAUCCACAAGUUGCAACCAAUUUUAAACAUUCUUAACUGCAUAUCUUUUAUUGGCAAAAAGUAAAAACAGUAAAGUAAACUAAAAUACAUCUUUGACAAUGUAUUUCUGAAAUGGAUACAAAGGUUAGAUAAAAGUGCUUAGAUGCCUAUGUAAAGAUCUUUUGAGUAAAGAACAACUCAGUUAUUGUUGGAAUCACAGACGCCUUAAAGGGCCAGACUUAAAAGUGACUUCAAAACAGAGUUUAUUAAAACAAGAAAAGGGAUGCAGAGAAACUAAAAUGCAGUUUCACUGGUCAAAACUAAAAAAAACCAAACCAGACCUGGUUCAAAAGCUAAACAGAAAUAUAAUCCAGAUUAACUGGAUGCAAAGAGCAACAAGUCCAACAAAGUGCUCUGAGGUAAAACAAAAGGCACAGUACACAAAUGGUUAACAAAAGGAGUCGCAGGAAGAGAAGCAUCGUCAGCUGAAGUCCAGGGUCGAAGCGGGAGAAAUCCAAAACAGCGUUGCUCCAGUGUCCGCAGAAGCAGCGUCUAGCCAAACCGGUCCAGGUCCAAAGAGAGAGAAGUCCAAACUGCAGAUCCGAAUCCAACACCGAACAUGAAACAGGCAACAGCAAGUCUACAAGAAUCUUUACCAAUGCACAGCACACAAACACACAUCAACACCUUACCUUCUGCAAAGACCCCUCACCCCUGAACUCACUUUUAUCUACACAUCAUCAUCAUCAUCAGAUGAACUGACCACUGCCCCAUCACUAUCCCCUGCAGCUGCUCCCAGCAAUUCAUGUGAAUUCCCUUGACUUUCCCUCCAAUUCCUCAAUCUCAUGUCAAGACUUAGAUCCCCCAAGACUCAGUUGGAUCCCCUGAUUGCCAGUCUUCACGCCCAGAGAACCCCAUAAAGGUAUCACUAGUUGUUGGCGCCUCACAAAUAGCUUGCACUUCUCUUAUCUUAGUCCAAUCCAUGGUGUCUCCUUCUUCUCCUUCACUCAUUGACCCAUCAUCCCCAGAGAAUCCCUCAAACGACUCCUCAUCUGUAGGUGCUGUAAGUAUGUCCUGGAUCCUCUUUCUCUGCUGCUCAUCAUCAGAUUCCUGCUCCUGAGUAACCCUUUCCACUUUCUGGCACCCAUACUACUGUUUGUAACGUUACUCACAGGCGCUACUACUAUCAUCUACUACUAUAGAUGAUAAAUCUGAAUAUAAAGCCAUUGCUAUUUUCACAUAACUAACCCAUUUAAUUACAAAAUGCACAUAUGGAAUAAAGACCAUAAUUUGACUAUUCGCUCUCAUGACACAGUGUGAUCCAAUAUGAUACAAUACCCACAAAUAAGGCAUUAGGUAGAUUAGC